rnacentral:rRNA from 1 species
UAGUGUGAAUUGCAGAAUUCCGUGAACCAUCGAAUCUUUGAACGCAAAUUGCGCCCAAGGCUUCGGCCGAGGGCAUGUCUGCCUCAGCGUCGGCUUACCCCCUCGCUCCCCCUUUCCUUCGGAUUGGGUUUGAGUGGAUCUGGCUUUCCCGGCUCCGU